CUCAAAUAACAUAAAAGGCCAACGAGCAUACUGUAGCAUAUGGAAUCUCUUUACCCAUUUUUCAAAUAAACUAUUUUGCAUUGGUUUAAACACAGGAAUCUAGUUAUCAUAAGUUUAAUGAUGUUAUAAGACGUUCAUCGUCAAGAGAGAAUAGCAAUGUAAAUUAACUCAAUUUUGCGGGUUGGGUUGGUUUGUCCCAUCUAAUAUGAACUAUUAGUGUGUUUUGUGAACUUUUGCGCUCCUCCAAAUUAAGGAUCUUUUGUAUGUGCUUGAUAAUCUUUAGUUGUAAUGUAUAUUUUUUUAAUGUUUACUAGUAUAAUUUUUAUUUGUGGCCCUCCCCGUCGGGGGCCUAGGGCGAGGGCACCUUUUGCCUAGGCUAUGUGUCGGCCCUGAGGAGAGGGCGUUCUUGAAGAUGAUGAGCAAGAUGAAUAGGACCGGGCUCGCCCCAGGAUGGGAAUGGACCGGGUCGGCUCGUCGGGUUGCUGACCCGAUCCAAAAAAUCAAGGCCAAUGGGUCAUGUGGGUCGGUCUCAAAAGAGAUUUGAAUCAACAAAGUUGGCACUGCGUGACCCGUUGGGUUAGUCGAGUCGAUCCACCAUAUAGUAUUAUAUCUAAUAGUAGUUGCAAUAUAUGUCCCGCCGGCGUUAUCGUAUGACCCGAUCUUACGACGCAGUGUGUCGUAUAAUUUCGGACAAAUGCUAAUGGAUAUGAACAACAAAAUAGUCUUAAUAUGUUUCAGCAAGAUGUGCACUUAUAAUUAGUCACGUAUUAGAAAUCUUAUUAAUUCUUACACUAGUCAAAUUCCAUCCAUGCAUAAUAUAGUAUCUCGUUUGUCCACAAAAAAUGAAAGUAAGAAUUUAGAUCGACCCAAAAUACCCAUAAGGCCAACAAGACCAUCCACUAUUAUUUAUACUAGUGGCAGGGCGCGUCCUAGGUGCGCCUCCUGUGCGAUCCUUUGCGUAGAAGUCUUGCUUGUGUUAUUAUGAACGUGAUUUUGCAACCAAGAUGAUCACGUUAAAAAGAAAAUUGUGGCCAACACACUUGUUAACAUGUGCAUGCAGUCCAAAUGAGCGCUAAUAUUAUUUUUUACAAAAUAAGCAGACACAAAGGUGAUAAUUUGCCUACUCUGUUGCUCCAAAAUACUUGAAUCUGUUCAAUUCAACCACUAACAGUCAUACAUACCAUGGGAAACAAAAAAAAACAUAAUAGCAGUACCAGUCCUAGAAUAAAUCCCGACCCUUAAGAAUAAAGGUGUGUUGUUGCUUCUCUUCACAUAACUCUCCUUACAUUUUGAGUGCCUUUUGGCACUGUCAGUCACCAAAGUAAAGUCACAUUACAAUUCAAAAGAGACACCUAAUGCUCUAGUGCAGAAACACCAACGACUACCUUUUCCAUGGAUCUUCUAUUUGAGUAAGGUGACAUCACAUCGACAAACAUCACCUGAAUCCACAAACCAUGACCAUUGCCUAUAAUAAUUUAUGUGAAAAUACGAGAAAUCUUCCAUGAAAAUUGGAGCUAUUUCAUAACCUUAACAGAGUUAAUACAAAAGAAUCACCUGUGUUAAAAUCAAACCUCUGGGUUAACAAAAACCGAGAACAAAAAAUAAUGCACCGUAAUUGUUCGCCUAUCAACAUGAAAGAAAUGAUGUGCUUUAUAGAGAAAGGAAUGAUGUGCUUUAUAAAAGUGAGCACACUACAAGGAUGCAAUGUUCCUGCGGUGAUAAUCUAUAUCGAGAUUGGUCAUUCAUAUUUCAUCUAUGAACUGUAAAGAGACAAAAAUAAUUUCAACUUAAAGAUGAAAACACAAUAUCAUGGGUCUCGAAUUGUACAUGCCUUGUGUCAACACUAUAUCACAUCCCAAUGAUUAUGCUGCUUUCCUUCUAUUGUGAAGGUCCUAAGAAAUACCCUGGCCAUGUUUACGACAAUAGAGUCAUCAAGAAUAUUUCAUAGAAUUCCAUCGCAAGAAAACUGCAAAAAUCUAAAACCUACAGAAAGACGAAAGAGAAUUAGUUCGAAGAACACUGUCAAAUUUGCACCACCUUAGAUGCACACAAUAGUCGUGAUCUAGCUCUCAUUUUUUGCGGUUGUAUGAUCUAUUUACUUGAAAAUUAAAAUAUAUGCUUCAUAAUAUUUAUUUAUGUUUAGUAGAGAACCUUGGACCAUGAAACAUGAUCACAAAUACAUAUUUUGUAUACUGCAAGUUCAUGGUAGAACCAGGUAUUCACUUGUGAUAUAUGGAUCAAGCAAUACAGAGAGAGAGAGAGAGAGAGAGAGAGAGGGGAUUGGGAACUUACUGACUGAGAAUGUGAUUGGACGAAAGGGACAUUGAUUCAUCGGUCAUCCAGAGCCGCCACGAAAAAAGGGGUAGAGAUGGUGGGGUUGACCUGCUACAUAAGGCCAGAAGUGGUUGUGUUACCGAGUUAUAAGCAAAGAUGAG
rnacentral:lncRNA from 1 species